CACUCCUGCGGGAGGCAGCAGUAGGGAAUCUUCCACAAUGGGUGCAAACCUGAUGGAGCAAUGCCGCGUGAGUGAAGAAGGUCUUCGGAUCGUAAAGCUCUGUUGUUAGAAAAGAACACGUGCUAGGUAACUACUAGCGCCUUGACGAUAUCUAACCAGAAAGUCACGGCUAACUACGUGCCAGCAGCCGCGGUAAUACGUAGGUGACAAGCGUUGUCCGGAUUUAUUGGGCGUAAAGGGAGCGCAGGCGGUCUGUUUAGUCUAAUGUGAAAGCCCACGGCUUAACCGUGGAACGGCAUUGGAAACUGACAGACUUGAAUGUAGAAGAGGAAAAUGGAAUUCCAAGUGUAGCGGUGGAAUGCGUAGAUAUUUGGAGGAACACCAGUGGCGAAGGCGAUUUUCUGGUCUAACAUUGACGCUGAGGCUCGAAAGCGUGGGGAGCGAACAGGAUUAGAUACCCUAGUAGUCCCAUGAU
rnacentral:rRNA from 1 species